rnacentral:lncRNA from 1 species
AGGAGGAGGAGGAGGAGGAGGAGGAGGAAGAGAGAGGCCAGCCAUGAACACGUGGAGAGAGAGGAGGGAGGGGAAUGGAGAGAGAAGAGGGUAAGAGAAGAAGAGAGGAAGAGAAGAAAGAGAAGAUGGGAGCAAGCAGCUUCUUUUAUAGUGAGUCAGGCAUACCUGGCUGUUGUCAGGUAACUGUGGCGAGGAGCCUAGAAGGAAUGCCAACAUGGACCAUGACCAGUCCAGUCAUGGUCAAAAGGCACAAACAGAGUCUCCUCCAGAAUUCUUGUCAAAAGUCCUGGUGAAGGGAGGCACUCUUCCUGCUAGGGCAGCCACAGUCUGAUAGGAGGCAGAUGGUAACCCAGAUGAUGGGUGGGAAUGAGCCACACCAGAGCCUGGAGGGACUGUAUUAAUUACAUCAUUCUUCAUCACUGUGAUGUAGACCUGACCUUAAGGAAGAGAGGGGUUUGCAGUUUUAGAGACCACAGUUCAUCCUGGUGGGGAAGACACAGCUAUGACAGUAGGAGUGUGAGAUUGUUUGCUCACAUAGUGGUGGGUUAGGAAGCAGAGAUGGGGCAGAAGGGGAGACCUCACCUUCUGCUGACUUACUUCCUCUAGAGAAGCCCCACUUCCUAAAGGUUCCACAGUAUCCCCAAACAGCAGAACUGGGACUUGGUAGGCACUAAGAAAUCAAACACAGGAGCCUGCUGGGCAGCAUCUCACAUCUGAGCCAGUAUAGAUGCUGUGAGGUGACCUCCACUCGGGAGCCCGCUCUGCAUUGAACUAGCACCUCCAGCAUUGGUGUCACCCAAGAACACCUGCGCCAACCAUGCAGAUCAAUGUUUGACCACAUUCCAGGUAUCCUGGACCCAGUCCAGGUCACAUAAAACUCAGGGUCACACACAGUGAGGUCACUAAGUGUAGAGCUGGAAAGACCUCCAAGCGGGUCUCAGGACAGAUGUCCCUGCAUGCUCUCUCCCUCCUCCCUCUGGCCCUCAGGCUGUGUUUUCCAGGCUCUGUACAUUCCUGGGCAGACCUCUAAGGUCCAGGGGGUCUUUCUCAUGGAUGCCCUCCAUAUCGCAGAACAAUCCUGCCUCUGUUUUAUUGUUUGUUGGAUAAACAGGCUGGAUCAGGAUGGCAGUCUCCUUCUUCCUCCUCCUUUCUCACAACCAACCGAACCAGCCUGGCCUGUUCUGAACCCAGGAGGCUGGCUUGUCAUUGGACCUCAGGACCUGUCCUCUGCAUGUGAAGCCACCGUUACCUUCCAUGAUGCCUGUUGAACAUGACUGUUCUCUGAGCCAAAUCACCACCAUCUUCAUCAGAUCAGCAGUGCCAGCUUGCAAAAGAUCAUCUCAGCUGGGCUCAGUGACUAUUGGCAUUCCAAGGGAGUGGAAAUAGUCUUGGACCCUCACUUAAGUGUCCAGUCCCUUCUUCUAAAUAGUUGUAAAGAAA